GGGUUGUGAGGUUAAGCGACUAAGCGUACACGGUGGAUGCCCUGGCAGUCAGAGGCGAUGAAGGACGUGCUAAUCUGCGAUAAGCGCCGGUAAGGUGAUAUGAACCGUUAUAACCGGCGAUUUCCGAAUGGGGAAACCCAGUGUGACUCGUCACACUAUCAUUAACUGAAUCCAUAGGUUAAUGAGGCGAACCGGGGGAACUGAAACAUCUAAGUACCCCGAGGAAAAGAAAUCAACCGAGAUUCCCCCAGUAGCGGCGAGCGAACGGGGAGGAGCCCAGAGCCUGAAUCAGCAUGUGUGUUAGUGGAAGCGUCUGGAAAGGCGCGCGAUACAGGGUGACAGCCCCGUACACAAAAGCGCAUGUGCUGUGAGCUCGAUGAGUAGGGCGGGACACGUGGUAUCCUGUCUGAAUAUGGGGGGACCAUCCUCCAAGGCUAAAUACUCCUGACUGACCGAUAGUGAACCAGUACCGUGAGGGAAAGGCGAAAAGAACCCCGGCGAGGGGAGUGAAAAAGAACCUGAAACCGUGUACGUACAAGCAGUGGGAGCCCCACCACCAAAGCAUUCUCUGGUGUUGAAGGCCCUGCAAAGCAGCAUCGCGGUGGCGGAGCGUCGUUUGCGACGCCCAACACACAAAACAAGCGGUGAGUGCUUUGGGGUGGGGUGACUGCGUACCUUUUGUAUAAUGGGUCAGCGACUUAUAUUCUGUAGCAAGGUUAACCGAAUAGGGGAGCCGUAGGGAAACCGAGUCUUAACCGGGCGUUAAGUUGCAGGGUAUAGACCCGAAACCCGGUGAUCUAGCCAUGGGCAGGUUGAAGGUUGGGUAACACUAACUGGAGGACCGAACCGACUAAUGUUGAAAAAUUAGCGGAUGACCUGUGGCUGGGGGUGAAAGGCCAAUCAAACCGGGAGAUAGCUGGUUCUCCCCGAAAGCUAUUUAGGUAGCGCCUCGUGAAUUCAUCUCCGGGGGUAGAGCACUGUUUCGGCUAGGGGGCCAUCCCGGCUUACCAACCCGAUGCAAACUGCGAAUACCGGAGAAUGUUAUCACGGGAGACACACGGCGGGUGCUAACGUCCGUCGUGAAGAGGGAAACAACCCAGACCGCCAGCUAAGGUCCCAAAGUCAUGGUUAAGUGGGAAACGAUGUGGGAAGGCCCAGACAGCCAGGAUGUUGGCUUAGAAGCAGCCAUCAUUUAAAGAAAGCGUAAUAGCUCACUGGUCGAGUCGGCCUGCGCGGAAGAUGUAACGGGGCUAAACCAUGCACCGAAGCUGCGGCAGCGACACUGUGUGUUGUUGGGUAGGGGAGCGUUCUGUAAGCCUGCGAAGGUGGCCUGUGAGGGUUGCUGGAGGUAUCAGAAGUGCGAAUGCUGACAUAAGUAACGAUAAAGCGGGUGAAAAGCCCGCUCGCCGGAAGACCAA
rnacentral:rRNA from 1 species